AAUAUGUUAUUAGCAAAUAAAAUCCCCAAAAUAAAAUUGAUAGGCAGCUGAUUAGGGUUUUAAGAGAACUGUUAUCAUGAACCAGGCUGUGGGUUGCAUCUACAGCACAAAUACACAAACAAAAACCCCACAAAGAAUUGUAUCAUCUAGGGAGAAAAAAAAAAAGUCUCAACCCUAAUCCUCAUCAAUGCAGAAAUCUAUGAUUGCUCAAUCCCAGAACAAACCCUAAAUUACCCGCAAAAGUGUGAUGUUAAUCAGUACAGUGCCCCCACAAAAAACUCUUCCGCCAUGGUCCUCUCAGAACUCUGGAUAAGGGAUCUCUUCAAGGUGGGCAAAACCUGAGGCAGCCAGAUUGACUGAUGACACAGCCAAAGAUUUGAAGUUAACAGAUACAUGAGGUUUUCUAGUGCUAUCAUUUUCAUUAUUAUCCAUGAUAAUGCUUUGGAUUAGUGACCAAUACACAGUGUUUCCUUUUUACUCCAUUUUAUUCUCUAUUUCUCCCAUUUCUAAACAUCAGGACUUUUUGUGUGUAUGUGUGUGGUGGUAAGGGAUUGGUUUAAAGAUAUCCUUCAACGACCAAGUGAGCAAAACUAACAACCUACCCCCACCUGCUGAACUAUUGAAUGAGCAAGAAAUAUAUCUUUGUUGUUUGAAUCCAGUAAGAUUUG
rnacentral:lncRNA from 1 species